rnacentral:rRNA from 1 species
UCUUAGUGGCGGACGGGUGAGUAACGCGUGGGCAACCUGCCCCGUGCCGGGGGAUACCGCCUGGAAACAGGCGCUAAUACCGCAUAAGCGCAUACAGCCGCAUGGCAGUAUGCGGAAAGCUCCGGCGGCACGGGAUGGGCCCGCGCCCGAUUAGCCAGUUGGCGGGGUAACGGCCCACCAAAGCGACGAUCGGUAGCCGGCCUGAGAGGGCGGACGGCCACAUUGGGACUGAGACACGGCCCAAACUCCUACGGAAGGCAGCAG